CGUGGGUAACCUGCCCAAGAGAUCGGGAUAACACCUGGAAACAGAUGCUAAUACCGGAUAACAACAGAUGAUGCCUAUCAACUGUUUAAAAGAUGGUUCUGCUAUCACUCUUGGAUGGACCUGCGGUGCAUUAGCUAGUUGGUAGGGUAACGGCCUACCAAGGCGAUGAUGCAUAGCCGAGUUGAGAGACUGAUCGGCCACAUUGGGACUGAGACACGGCCCAAACUCCUACGGGAGGCAGUAGG
rnacentral:rRNA from 1 species